rnacentral:rRNA from 1 species
GCCCAGUGAACAAUUAAACGGCCGCGGUACCCUAACCGUGCAAAGGUAGCAUAAUCAUUUGUCUAUUAACUGUAGACCUGUAUGAAAGGCAAAAUGAGGGUUUAACUGUCUCUUAUAAUAAAUCUAUUAAACUGAUCCCCCAGUAAAAAAGCUGGGAUACUCCCAUAAGACCAGAAGACCCUGUGAAGCUUUAACUAAACUAUUAAACUAAAUAAUAACUACUUUAGGUUGGGGCGACCUUGGAAAUAAAAAGAACUUCCAACAUAACAAAUAAUCAUUAAGGCCCACAAGCCAAUUAACGACCCAGUAAUACUGAUAAUUGAACUAAGUUACUCCAGGGAUAACAGCGCCAUCUUCUUCAAGAGCCCAUAUCAAAAAGAAGGUUUACGACCUCGAUGUUGGAUCAGGACACCCCAAUGGUGCAACCGCUAUUAAAGGUUCGUUUGUUCAACGAUUAAUGUCCUACGUGA